CACUGCUCUGAUGUUUACGGAAGACAGGUUAUAAAUAACCACUGGGAGUCAGUCCGACAUACAGCAGGCAGAACGAGAGUUUUAAGAAUCAGAAGAACACUCGCUCAUUCACCGCGAAUUUAUAACUUAAUACUUCGCCAACUGGCGCAGGCGUAGUACACGAGGAACCGCCCCUGCACUGCAGAGGAGGAGCCGUGACAUAUGCUACCUGCCACCUUUGAUGUAAUUUGUCAAACUGAGAAAACUCAAGUCACAUGACAAAAGGUUGUUGUCUUCCCAUUUUUUUGGCAUCAAAGUUAUGUCCUUUACCACUACAUGAGUGUUGCUGCUUUCUAGAGGGAGAUGGCGAACAGCAAUGCCAAGCUGUGUGUGUCUGUUUUGGGUUCAUUGUGGAGAUGAGCUGGAGGUUGAGGGAGCUUCAAUCCUGGGGACUGAUGGAAAGGAAGAUGCUAUAUAGAGUCUGGUGGGGCUGCUGCUGAGAGGAGUGGGAGACAAACUCAAUGAGGAGGAGGAAGCUUUUGUGAAUGAUGAUGAGGAAGUCGACUGAGCCAGAGGGAUUUUCCCCAUUCUAUACCCCCAUUGUCUUCUUCCCGAUUAUACACUUUUUUCCCAAAGUAUGCACUUGCGCAUUUUCUGUCAUGGAUCAGAAUUUGAUUGGCGUAAUUAUUGGCUAAAGGGAGUUCCCACCAUUGUUAAAUCUAUGACGGGAAAGGGUGGAUAAUUGGGAUCUAGCUCUCUAACCCCAGCCCUAACCCCUAGAGAAGUUUCAACUCAGGGUAAUGUAUUGCUAUUAUUGCAUGCCCAAUUAAACAUUGAUUUUGCACAAAGAAACAUGUACAUAGACAUAUAGAUGACUGUCUUCCAGAGCCAUAGGAUAUGAGGGAAACUGUUCAUCUCAAGCCCCAUUCCAUCUUUUGAAUUAUAAAUGUAUAUGAUAUAAGAAUGUAUAUGAAACUACAGUAUUCAGGUGUUUUUGUUACAUUUUAAUUGGGACUAUAGGAAUGUAAAAAAUAGACAAAUCUGUUGAAUGAAACCUAUUUACUUGUAUAAUUUUACAUUAUAUUUAGUUAUUUACUUUAUUUUUUAUUGUAAGAAUAAUGAUGAUGAUGAGACUGCGUACCAUUGAUCUAGCCUUGUCACGCCGUGAUCUGUUACACCUGUCCUUGUGCUUGUCUCCUCCUCCCCCCAGGUGUCGCCAAUCUUCCCUAUUAUCACCUGUGUAUUUAUACCUGUGUUCUCUGUCUUGUUUGUUGCCAGUUUGUCUUGUUCGUUCAAGCUUACCAGCGGUUUUCCUGUCAGCGGCUAUUGUUUCCAACCCUUGCUUUGCUAGUCCUCCUGGUUUUGACCGAUGCCUGACAUCUCUGCCUGAGCCUGCACCUUUGCUCCACCUCUGGAUUACUGAACCCUGCCUGACCCUGAGUCUGCCUGCCGUCCUGUACCUUUGCCUAACCCUUGAUUUUCGACCCCUGCCUGCCUUGACCUGUCUUUGCAUGUCCCUGUUUGCUACAAUAAACAGGGUUACUUCGACAGUCUGCAUCUGGGUCUUACCUUGAUUCUUGAUAAGCCUAUACUGUCAGAUCCAAAUAAUGUUUACAUAAAGCAACAUUGCCAAAGAUGUCAACAUUCCAGACCUCCAGGACAUGUCCUCAUUUGAUCCAGAGAUGGAACCACUGGUUAAAUCGUGACUGGACCAAAGACUGGGGCAGGUACUGUAGCCUACGUAUGCUGUAUGGAAGUGCUACAAUUCUGAGUGGUAUAUGGUCAAACGGUAAUUCUGUGUGCAGAGUCUAUGCAAUGGAAUGUCUGCCUUAUUUGUUUAAGAAUAAUUAAACAAAUUCCAUGUUAUGAUUAUAGUGUUCAAUGUUAACACUGAUUUAGACAGCUUUGUGACUGUUUGAUUUGUUAUUAAUUUAUUGAAUAAAAAUAGAUCUACUGGGCUCCUGAGUGGCGCAGAGGUCUAAGGCACUGCAUCUCAGUGCUAGAGGUGUCACUACAGACCCUGGUUUCGAAUCCAGGCUGUUUCACAACUGGCCAUGAUUGGGAGUCUGCACAAUUGGCCCAGCGUCAUCCGGGUU